rnacentral:rRNA from 1 species
AUGGCGGCUCCCAGCCUCCACCUCCUCCUCCCGCGCCACCCCCAGGCCCUGCUCGCCCUGCCGCCGCCGCCGCCGCGGGCCUCGCCCUCCGUGCUAGCCUUGCCCCGCUUUCCCCUCCCCGCGCGGCGCCGGGGCCGGGCCGUCGCGGCGCUCGGGUGGGGAGGGGGCGGAGGGAUCGAGGACGUCGGCCAGCUAUUCAGCCGCGUCGAGGCGUUCCUCUACACCGUCGCCGACGCCGCGGUGGCGGCCGCCCCGGGGGUCGCGGCGGACGGCGGGGCCAAGGAGGCCGCCGCGGCCGGGGACUGGUUCGCCGGGAUCACCGGCUCCAUGGAGACCGUGCUCAAGGUUCUGAAAGAUGGUCUUUUGACUCUUCAUGUUCCUUAUCCAUAUGGUUUCGCGAUCAUCCUCCUGACGGUUCUGAUUAAGGGGGCCACUUUUCCUCUUACAAAGAAGCAGGUCGAAUCUGCACUUGCAAUGAGGUCACUUCAACCUCAAGUGAAGGCUAUUCAGGAACGACAUGCUGGGGAUCAGGAAAGGAUACAACUCGAAACUGCCCAUUUAUAUAAGUUGUCUGGCGUUGAUCCACUUGCAGGGUGCUUGCCUACUCUUGUAACAAUACCAGUCUGGAUUGGUCUAUACAAAGCUCUCUCCAAUGUAGCUAAUGAGGGACUUCUUACGGAAGGCUUUUUUUGGAUACCUUCUUUGGCUGGUCCAACAACAAUUGCUGCUCGAGAAAGUGGCCAAGGAAUAUCCUGGCUUUUUCCAUUUACGGACGGACAUCCACCACUUGGUUGGUCGGACACUAUGGCAUACCUUGUUCUACCAAUUCUUCUGGUUAUUUCGCAAUACUUAUCUGCUCAGAUAAUGCAAUCAUCACAGAGCAAUGAUCCUAGCCAGCAAGGUGCACAAGCUGCAGUGAAGUUCCUGCCUUUGCUAAUUGGUUAUUUUGCUCUUUCUGUUCCUUCUGGAUUGAGUCUAUAUUGGCUUACAAAUAAUGUCCUUAGCAGUGCACAACAAGUGUGGCUUCAAAAGCUUGGAGGUGCCAAAAAUCCUGUCCAAGAAUAUAUUGACAAGCUUGCUAGAGAGGAAUCAACUAAUGUUGGAAAGUAUGAACCUGCUGAUAAGAGUGAGGUUCUCCCAAAAGCUGGUAAACCCCAGCCUGGUCAAGUGCCAAAACCAAGCGAACCGCAGCGCGGUGGAAGGUUUAAGAAAUUAAUGGAAGAAGAGUCAAGGAGAAAACAACUUGUGGAACAAGCAAAGCAAACAGAAGAGGCAAGCGUAGACUCUUUUGCCAUUGAUGGGAAACAGGAUUUUGACAGCUCUGCUCCAGACACCAAAGAUGAGCAGGAGGAAUCCCAUGAAAAUGAACCGAUUUCAGCUAGUAGCAAUGGCGGACUUAGCCAUGAUACACACGAAGCAACCCCAAACAGAAACACGGAAGAGGGAACAAUUCAGGAAGCGACCGACGCCGACAGCCAUUCUUCAGUAAGCAAUGCUGCUUCCCCCUCCGACAAUAGAUUGAGAGGCCAAGAUGAGGAUGGUAAAGACGCAGAAUAG